CACGCACGCACGUAUGAAACUCGCUUUUCUUUCCCUUCUUAUCUCGUGUUUAUUGUGUACUAGUACUGUCACUUUUCAUUAUUCCCACUCACAGGGACAAUUCCGUCAAUUUGUUUUCUAUAUAGUCUUUCCUUUCCGUUUUCUCUCAGCAUUUCCACUUUGACUGUACUCUCUCUCUCUCCCUCUCUCUCGGUGCAGUGCGGUUUUUCGAUCUGAGUUUGAAGUUCCAAGAAUUCAGCGGCUAAAAGGGUUGAUGAAUUGGUUUUGGUGAAGGGAACAACUGUGGCGAUAUUCUUGGGAGAGAAACACUAUGCGGUGGUUCCUGAGUCUUUCUAUUGAUGUGUAUCGGAAAGUUAUCUCAUUGAAUCUCUAUUGUAAAGUUAUCCUGUAAAUUCCUUUACAAGCCUCGCCUUAAAUUCUGAACGUUUUUCGUCUUGUAACUCGAUGGGAUCCACUUUCUUCGUUGUCGUUCCCUGUUACGUUCGUCAGAUUAGCUGAACAGUAGCAAAUCCAAUAUCCUCUCUGCUUUCUUUCUCAUUUUGUUUCCUGGGUGAAAAAUCUGAUUGCUUGUUGUUUAUUUCUUGGUCUGGUUAUCCCUCCAGUUACGUGUAUUAGGUGUCCCUUUGCUGACGAUUAAUCUAGUUUUCUGUGUUCAAUUAAUAUUGUCCCUUUGUUUGUUC